rnacentral:tRNA from 2 species
GCCCUUAUGAUGGAACGGUAGACAUAUCGACUUCAAAAGUCGACGCUUUUAGGCGUGUCGGUUCAAAUCCGACUGAGGGCA